GACGAACGCUGGCGGCGUGCCUAAUACAUGCAAGUCGAGCGAACAGACGAGGAGCUUGCUCCUCUGACGUUAGCGGCGGACGGGUGAGUAACACGUGGAUAACCUACCUAUAAGACUGGGAUAACUUCGGAAACCGGAGCUAAUACCGGAUAAUAUAUUGAACCGCAUGGUUCAAUAGUGAAAGACGGUUUUGCUGUCACUUAUAGAUGGAUCCGCGCCGCAUUAGCUAGUUGGUAAGGUAACGGCUUACCAAGGCAACGAUGCGUAGCCGACCUGAGAGGGUGAUCGGCCACACUGGAACUGAGACACGGUCCAGACUCCUACGGGAGGCAGCAGUAGGGAAUCUUCCGCAAUGGGCGAAAGCCUGACGGAGCAACGCCGCGUGAGUGAUGAAGGUCUUCGGAUCGUAAAACUCUGUUAUUAGGGAAGAACAAAUGUGUAAGUAACUAUGCACGUCUUGACGGUACCUAAUCAGAAAGCCACGGCUAACUACGUG
rnacentral:rRNA from 1 species